UGAGAAUGAAUCGGUCCAAGCCGAUGGG
rnacentral:sRNA from 1 species